UACGUAGGGAGCAAGCGUUGUCCGGAAUCAUUGGGCGUAAAGAGCGUGUAGGCGGCCUUUUAAGUCCUGCGUGAAAUCCUGCGGCUCAACCGCAGACGGUCGUGGGAAACUGGAAGGCUAGAGUGCGGGAGAGGAGAGUGGAAUUCCCGGUGUAGCGGUGAAAUGCGCAGAUAUCGGGAAGAACACCCGUGGCGAAGGCGGCUCACUGGUCCGGUACUGACGCUGAGGUGCGAAAGCGUGGGGAGCAAACAGG
rnacentral:rRNA from 1 species